rnacentral:tRNA from 1 species
GCGGCCAUAGUCUAGCCUGGUCCAGGACGUCGGCCUUCCAAGCCCAUGACCCGGGUUCAAAUCCCGGCGGCCGCACCA